AGCAUUUGAGCCCAGGCUUUAACUCUAUGAGGCUGAGAGGCAUUGCCAAGCCCUGCAUCAAGGGGCUGGGGUGGCGACCCCACCCCAGAGGCAGGGGGCGUGGCCUGGGGAUUGAGGUGGGGCAGGGCGGCCUCUUAAGAACCACAGUUUGCAUGAACUGUAGAACAGGGAACACCUGCCCCAGCGCAGUUGGAUGAGGAGGCUGGUCUGUCUGUGGAGGAGGCAAAACAAGGGGAGGUGCUGGCUGAGCAGUUUCCAGAAUUGAGGAAGACCAAGCAUCAUCAGAUUCAGGAAGCCCGGCAGGCUUGGGGCCAAAGGGAAGACAUGCCACACGGACGGACGGACGGAUGGAUGGGCAGGCGGCUGCAUCCAGCGUGAUCUGAGGCUCGAGGAAGCUGGAGGGCUGCACCCAUGGCCUAUGGAAGUUCCCAGGCUAGGAGUGGAAUCAGAGCCGCAGCUGCCAGCCUACACCACAGCCACAGCCGCCAGAUCCAAGCCACGUCUGCGAUCUACCCGACAACUCACGACGAGGCCAGGGAUCAAACCUGAGUCCUCAGGGAUACUAGUUGGGCUCGUUACCACUGAGCCACAGAGGGAACUCCCUCGCUUGUUAAACUUUUAAACAACUGUUCAAUAAACAUGAACAAAGUCUGUGCUUGCGGGCUGUUAUGGAGCUAAGGCUCUAGCGCUGGGGGCCCUGGGCAGGGGCACCUCAGGCCGGGUCUCGGAGCAGUCAUGCUGGCCCAGCUCUUCUCCAACCCCCCAGGGAGGGAAACAGACUGGAGAAGACCCUGGCAGGAGAGUGGACACGGCGCCGCAGGCAGAGGCGGGGUCCUCACUGAAGCCGGCUGGGGCCCCAGAGGCAGAGAGCGGGGGACCCACCUACCUGGUGCUGGAUGUAGGCGUGGAUGCGCUCCAGCAUCCCCUCACACGUGUACUCGUAGGGCAGAUGAUGAGACACUUGUGGGCUCUGGGACCAUGACUUGUUCACUACUGAAUCCCUGGUGCCUGGCACAGGGUCUGGAAAACAGUGGCCACUCAGGAAAUAGUCCUGGAAUGAAAAGGCACCCCCAGCUCUGCCUGCGUCCUGCCCAAGAUGCGGACAGAAACAAAGGGCGUCUCCUAGCCUGAUGGCAUGAGAUGACAGCUGCGAAGCUUCCUGCCCAGACCACGUACCUGGGGGCCACAUGAGACAGGCACCCCCAGAUGGAGGCCACAUACCGCCAGUCUAAAUAGCAGAGUUGUGAAGCAGCCCACGCCGGGGGCGGAUGGGAGCAGACGGAUUGAGGAGCAAGGGGAAUCGAGA